rfam:Streptomyces variegatus strain NRRL B-16380 contig-18, whole genome shotgun sequence.
CGGGCCGUGUACUCCCAGAUCGCGUCCUCGUUCAGCAGCGCGUCGUCGCCGAAGUAGGCGCCGUCGGCGAGGACUCCGAGGGACUCGUCGUCCCCGUACGGUCCUGUGCCGACCUUCUCCACCCUGCCGUGCGCCAGGAGGUACACCUCCUCGGACGGGCUGCCGAACGAGGCAAUCACAUCGCCCGCCGGGACCUCCCGCUGCUCGCAGCGGCGGGCGAUCUCGAAGAGCACCUCCUCGUCCUCGUACGACCGCAGCGCCGGCAGCUCGCCCAGCUCCGCGGGGAUGAUCUCGACACGGUCGCCGGUCUUGACGAACGUCAGCCGGCCGUCGCCCACCGCGAACGUCAGCCGCCGGUUCACCCGGUACGUACCACCCUGGAUGUCGACCCACGGCAGCAUCCGCAGCAGCCAGCGGGAGCUGAUCUCCUGCAUCUGUGGCACGGACUUGGUCGUGGUGGCCAGGUUCCGCGCGGCCGCCGUGCCGAGACUCUGCUGCGGCUUGG